rnacentral:rRNA from 1 species
UACGGGGGGAGCAAGCGUUGUUCGGAAUUACUGGGCGUAAAGCGCACGUAGGCGGCUUUGCAAGUUAGAGGUGAAAGCCCGGGGCUCAACUCCGGAAUUGCCUUUAAAACUGCAUCGCUAGAAUUGUGGAGAGGUAAGUGGAAUUCCGAGUGUAGAGGUGAAAUUCGUAGAUAUUCGGAAGAACACCAGUGGCGAAGGCGGCUCACUGGCCCGGUACUGACGCUGAGGUGCGAAAGCGUGGGGAGCAAACAGG